CGGGACGUGGUCGACGGCGUUGCUGCCGCUGGCGUUGCUGCUGCUGGCCGCCGCGGUAGCCGCGAUCGCGGUGCGCGGGUGGCUGCUGCGCGCGCUGGCC
rnacentral:tRNA from 1 species